CUUCUUCCGUUUUUUUUUUUGCUGAUUGGCCUGACUUACCAUUUCUUUGCAUGUUAUAUUCUUUUUUAAAAGAGAUGUUUGUCAACAGGAAACAGCUUCCAGUCAUUACACUUCGAAUAUUUACUUGGUGCUACGACUGUCAGAGAAGUAGUGACACAUGUGAUAAGUUAUGGAAAUACCUCCAACCUAUUUAUAUGCCA